UGAAACCUGAUACUGCAAAUUUCACAGCCUCUUCUAGGUUCCUGAGGAGGCCUGGCUGAGCUCCGUGUCUAACGGGCCUCCAGCCUACACGCAGCCUGCCCUCCUGCCCUGGAGACUCCAGCUCCUGCUGUGACCCUAAGCCGGCCCUACCCGCUCUGGGCGAGUCGUCUCCCAUCUGUGUGUGUGAGAGCUUCUCUGACUGUCCUGAGUAGUAGGCCCUCUGCCCCCGUGAACCACAGCAGUGACACAGAAGGAUUCUGAAAGAAAACCAAUAAAAUGCAACUAAGCCAUCAAAAAAAAAAAAAA